rnacentral:sRNA from 1 species
UCACGAGGUGGGCCCCCUGAAGCGG